rnacentral:lncRNA from 1 species
CUGUCCAAACCGUGUGGUCCUCAGCCCCUGUCGGCUUUCCCCAGCUCUGAGGCUAUGUCUACACGGCACACCUUAAAACUCCUCUGAAACCUCUUUUUCACAGGUGGUUAAGGUGGAGCCCUUCCUUCCUGUCUAGAACCCAUAAACAACCAGACUGGGUGCUUUUCUAACCCAUCUGUUCUGGGAAAUAGUUCAGGGCAGGUCUGUAGCCUGUGUGAUGCAGGGGGUCAGACUGGAGGAGCACAAUGGUCCCUGCUGGCCUUGGAAUCUCUUAAAAUAACAUCUGGAGCAGAACAGAGAGCCAGGGUGGGGCUGGGGGGAGGGGCUGGGUCCUAGCAGAUCUCGGCUUGGACAAAGCAGCUCCACCCCAGCCCAGGCAUCCUUUGUAACCUCACACCCCGGCUCGGCUCGGCUCGCUGUCCGGGGGAGAGUCUCUGGCGCGGGGAAUCGCCCCAGGAGCAGCAGUUCAGAAGAAAGAGCUAAUUCCCACGCUCUCUCCCAGCCCUGUUCCCAGCUGCCUGGCUGAGCCCUGCACCACAAUCAACUCUGCUUCCCACCCAGGCCCUGUGCCGGAGAAUCGGCAGCUCCCGGACCAGCCCCAGUAGGAAGCCUCCGGUGUAUUUCUGCAGGGGGGCUCCUGCCUCAGUUUCCCCAGCAGGGCUGCCUCACCGCACAGGGGAGCCUGGAUUUCUGAGAGCAGCGACAGAUGGGCCAAUAUUGGCGUUGGCGCUCAGCCUGAAGAAGCCAGCUGGUGCCCAGGUAACCAUGGUUACGAUUAUGCAGAGACACGUCAGACUUACACUGUUGCUAUAGCUGCUUUCUAGUGGCUUCCACAUCAUUGAGCGUGAGAGGGGACUGAGGUGCAGCCGAGAGCUGGUAACCAAGGGGACGUCGGCAGGGGAGAGGACUCAGCCCCUGGGAAGGGAGUGUCGCAGUUCAAGGUAACUGCACUGUCUCCCCCAUCCAUGGGCCACGUCUCUCUCCCUCCCGGCUACACAGUCCCCUGGCUACCGGUGCUAAGCCCAGACGGCCUCCCCGGCCCAGCGCCCGCGCUCUGCUUCCUCUCCGGAGGCUGCAGCUGGAGGAAUUGCCACAGCCCAAAGUGCCCAGCCAGCUGCUUCUGAACAAGCCCUGUGCGGAGGUAACCUGACAACCCAUAAAGGACCCCACGGACCCACAUGCCUGGGGAAAGCUCCCUGGAGCGCAGCCCCACUCCAGCCUGGGGGGGGGGGAUUGAAAUUAGGGGGGUGUUUGAAUAUUCGGGGGGGAGGGAAUGAGGGCC